rnacentral:rRNA from 1 species
UGGGGAAUAUUGCACAAUGGGCGCAAGCCUGAUGCAGCCAUGCCGCGUGUAUGAAUAAGGCCUUCGGGUUGUAAAGUACUUUCAGCGGGGAGGAAGGGAGUAAAGUUAAUACCUUUGCUCAUUGACGUUACCCGCAGAAGAAGCACCGGCUAACUCCGUGCCAGCAGCCGCGGUAAUACGUAGGGUGCAAGCGUUAAUCGGAAUUACUGGGCGUAAAGCGCACGCAGGCGGUUUGUUAAGUCAGAUGUGAAAUCCCCGGGCUCAACCUGGGAAAUGCAUCUGAUACUGGCAAGCUUGAGUCUCGUAGAGGGGGGGAGAAUUCCAGGUGUAGCGGUGAAAUGCGUAGAGAUCUGGAGGAAUAACGGUGGCGAAGGCGGCCCCCUGGACGAAGACUGACGAUCAGGUGCGAAAGCGUGGGGAGCAAACAGG